rnacentral:rRNA from 1 species
GAUGAACGCUGGCGGCAUGCCUAAUACAUGCAAGUCGAACGAAGCAUCUUCGGAUGCUUAGUGGCGAACGGGUGAGUAACACGUAGGUAACCUGCCCUCAAGUUGGGGAUAACAGUUAGAAAUGACUGCUAAUACCGAAUGUGCUAGAAAUAGUAAAGGCGCUUCAAAGCGUCGCUUGAGGAUGAGCCUGCGGUGUAUUAGCUAGUUGGUGGGGUAAUGGCCUACCAAGGCAACGAUGCAUAGCCGAACUGAGAGGUUGAUCGGCCACAUUGGGACUGAGAUACGGCCCAGACUCCUACGGGAGGCAGCAGUGGGGGAUAUUGCACAAUGGAGGAAACUCUGAUGCAGCAACGCCGCGUGAAGGAAGAAGGCCUUCGGGUUGUAAACUUCUGUCCUCAGUGACGAAGUUCUGACGGUAACUGAGGAGGAAGCCACGGCUAACUACGUG